rnacentral:lncRNA from 1 species
AGGGUGUCGCGGAGCGGCUGGGAAGGAGGGGCUGGGAAUCUUGGAGCCCCUUGGCCCGCGGGGAAAGCGGGUGACCCGCCCUGCAAGUGGGAUGCCCCCUUCGGCCUUCUGGAGCGCAGGUGGGGGCGCGCGCCCAUCGGGGGCUCGCACUGCACGGAGGGUCGCGGUGCCGGGGAGCUGAGGUUGGAGGAUGCAGGGCGGCGGCCCUGGUGCACCGUGGGGGAGUUCGCACGCCGGGCAGCGAUCUUCUGCCGGGACCUGGCGUUCUUCACACACGGCUUAUUCGUGACGGAUCCACAGAGCAAUGCACUCUGAAGCCGGAGGGUAGAAAGUGCUGGAAUGCGCGCCCGGGCCCAGGCUGUCGCGAGCCUUCAGCAAGCCAGUGCACACAGAGAGGGCUGCCCAGAGAUCCCGGUCAGCGCUCGCAGUUCGAGGGAGGCUGUCUCCCCGGCAAGGGUGCCCACUGCAAGCACAGGCGUGAGAAAUGGCCCAGAAAAGAGUGGUCAGGGCAAUGUGUUCUUGGCACGCCCAGCAAGACCUGCCAGAGGGACCUACAGACGAGUGUCUCCCAGCUAUCUUACCAGCGGGGACCUUGAGGUCCAAGUAUCCAGUCCGGUUAGAAAUGGCCGCGGAUCCAACAGGUGCUGGUGAGUGGGAGAAUACCCCUGAGGGAGGAAGAACAGAGGCCGGGAGGGAGCUGAGUGGAUGUAGAUGAGAAAUACCUGGACAGCUGCAAGCUGUAGUCAGUGAUGGGCAACUGGAACCAGAGAUUCCAGAGAGAGGGAGGGAGAAAGAGGGAGGAGAAGGGAGAAUGAGAAAGAGAGGGAGAGAGAAUGGGGGGGAGAAAGAGGGAGAAUGGGGGAGAGAGGUAGGAGCAAGUUCUGGACCACGCCAAGGAUGGAGCUGUGGUCCUGGAACCAGAUGUCCAGGGAAUGGGAUGAAGUGACACUGGCUGGGGCCGAGGCUGCAGACUGCUGGUGGGAGCUGGCAGGACAAUGAGGAUUCUGAACCAGGUGCCUGAGCCUUCUGUGGAUAUGGGGAGUGACUUGGAUGUCUAUAAAUUCCAGAAAUGAUAGGAGGGAUAGAUGAUGGAGGGACUGUAUUUUAGACAAUAAACAAAUUUCACUCAGUA